UAGAUAAGAAACCGAGGGCCGAGGGGUUGAGAAAGAUCCUAGGUUGGAAGGAAUCGGAAACGGCUAUAUGUUUUUUGAAACGUAGAAACGUGAUUAUUAACAAAAAAUAGGAAUGAAAACGUUUUGAAACGUUUAUAAAUAUAAGUACAAUUGUUUUCUUCUAUUUAAUGCAUCUAAGAAUACAAAUCAACAAAUAACCAUUGAUAGUGUUUAAGUAUACAGAAAUAAAAUAAAUAAAAAUAAAAUAUCAAAAAUCAUAUAAAAAUUCAAAAUAACACAAAUCCAAUACUCAUAUAUUACUUAAUUUAACUCAAGAUAAAAAUCAUAAAGACAAGCCAAAGAUCAAUAGCAUCAUCUUCAGCCUCAUUUUCAUUAGCUCCAGCAAACUUAACCAUUUAUCACCAAGAGAAAGAUAAAUUCAAGUCUCCCAAUAUUAAUCUCAUCCAAUGAAUCAAACCUCCAACAUCUCAUAUAUGAUUAAAACCAUCUUUGUAUUCAAGACUUCGUCUAUAGAUGGAAAAAGAAGAUUAGUGUACACAAAUACCAAAUCUUCUGCUCUUUGCAAAGUAUAUCCCCAUAUUUAUAAAUGGUUUAUAAAUCUGUUUUAAAUUAAAAAAUAACAUAAGAGUUUUUUUUGCUUUUCCAAAAAGAAUCUGUAAUUUCUAAAAUUCUAAAAUGAAAUUUAAAAAAAAAAACGAGUUUUGAAUGUGUUUUUACGAGUUUCAAGAAACUCCGAUUCUUAAACGUUUCAAAACGUGAAAUGGACAUUUACUCGAGUUCCAUUCAAUCUAAAAAAGAACUGAGACUAUUUUUUUUUUUUUUUUAUAGCUGGAAAGUAUCAGAAAAUGAAAAUCUGACUGUUGAAAUCUAUGAUUAUUUUCUUUAAACCAUUUGAAUAAAAUUUUGAUUUCAGAUUAAAACUGAAAAGUGAAACAGCCUAGAGCCGACAACUUUUGUGCGUGCUUUAUUAGAAAGUUUUUUUAUAAUUAGAAAGUUAAAACUUUCUGUCUAAUUUUCCAAAGAUAAAUUUGAAAUAUAAUUUUAUUGAUUCUUAUUUAUGGGGAUGUAUUUUUAUCCCGCCAAUUUGUCUAUUUCAAUUGCAAUAAAAAUUUAGAUGACAAAAGUAAAAAGAUAACAGUUUUAAGAAUUUGUUUUAAUUGUACUAGCACUACGAAUACAUAACCAUUUAUUUCCUAUUAGUAUACAGUUGUUCCAGUUACUUUGUUAACAUUACCACAAAGUUUAAUUUUUGGUGGACGUCUAUCUUCUUAAAAUUACUUACAACUACUACCAAAUACUAAUAUUAUGUAUUAUCUAAUUAGUGAUUAGUACGAUGCUAUUUUGUUUUAAUUUUGUCCACUAAGAUAUAAAACAAAUAUUUUGGUGUAUUUCGUCUCUUCGUUUAAAUGCUCUUUUAACACUUAAAUGGCUAUUAUGUAUACAGAAGAUGUUCAACCAUGUGUGUGAAGAAUCGGGUCAACGACAAAAAUGAUCGAAAAUGUUAUCUUCUUCGCCAUUUUCGGAUACGAAUAUAAAGGUUUGUUCAAAUCUGAAUAAAAUAUGUUUUCUCAGGAAUUUCAGUUCCAAAAUAUUCCCGUAAACAUGAUGCUUCUUUUGAAGUUUGAAAAUAAAAGUCACACGAUAUAAUAAUAUCUGAAUGUGAUUAAAUAGGGGAAGAAGAGAAGAUAUGAUUAAUUAGCUUAGAGGGAUAUAUAUUUAUUCAUUAUCUAAUUGAAAAUGGAUUUGUGGAACUUAUGAUGUCUCCCUUUCAAAUCCGGUCCACUAUUAUUGUUACAUUUCUGAUAGAAUUAAGAGAAUCUUGUCUAUGAUGCAGAUAUGCUAGAAAGAAAAUGGUAAUGUUCAUCAGGCUAUUCAUAAAAAUAAUCAUGGUGACCGUCUAAGUGAUUUAUAUGUUCCUUCAACAGGAACUUUGAAUGUCAUUUACAAAAAAAAUUGAUACAGAAGGCAGGAAAGAACCUGUAUCUGUACAUGAUAGUGUAUAAAUUUUUGAACUCUGUUCAAGAAUAUAACCAACCAUUCGUGUAUAUAGGCUAUGUGUUACUGUGGUUCUUCUGAGAAACAUUUUGAGAGCCACAUGUACUUCAACUUCACGAUCAAC